rnacentral:rRNA from 1 species
ACGCUCGACACCUACAGGCAGCAGUGGGGAAUAUUGCACAAUGGGGGAAACCCUGAUGCAGCGAUGCCGCGUGAAGGAAGAAGUAUCUCGGUAUGUAAACUUCUAUCAGCAGGGAAGAAAAUGACGGUACCUGACUAAGAGGCCCCGGCUAACUACGUGCCAGCAGCCGCGGUAAUCUGAGCGGGCUGGCAAGGC